rnacentral:rRNA from 1 species
CCUACGGGUGGCUGCAGUGAGGAAUAUUGGUCAAUGGGCGCGAGCCUGAACCAGCCAAGUCGCGUGAGGGAUGAAGGUUCUAUGGAUCGUAAACCUCUUUUAUAAGGGAAUAAAGUGUGGGACGUGUCCUAUUUUGUAUGUACCUUAUGAAUAACGAUCGGCGAACUCCGUGCCAGCAGCCGCGGUAAUACGGAGGAUCCGAGCGUUAUCCGGAUUUAUGGGGUUUAAAGGGUGUGUAGGCGGCCUUUUAAGUCAGCGGGGAAAGUCGGUGGCUCAACACUAUAAUUGCCGUUGAAACUGGUGGGCUUGAGUAUGUUUGAGGCAGGCGGAAUGCGUGGUGUAGCGGUGAAAUGCUUAGAUAUCACGCAGAACCCCGAUUGCGAAGGCAGCCUGCCAAGCCAUGACUGACGCUGAUGCACGAAAGCGUGGGGAUCAAACAGGAUUAGAUACCCUAGUAGUC